rnacentral:rRNA from 1 species
GACGUAGGGGGCCAGCGUUGUUCGGAAUUACUGGGUGUAAAGGGUUCGUAGGCGGUGCGGCAAGUCGGGAGUGAAAUCUCUGGGCUUAACCCAGAGGCUGCUUCCGAAACUGCUGUGCUUGAGUGUGGGAGAGGCGCGUGGAAUUGCAGGUGUAGCGGUGAAAUGCGUAGAUAUCUGCAGGAUCACCCGUGGCGAAAGCGGCGCGCUGGACCACUACUGACGCUGAGGAACGAAAGCUAGGGGAGCAAACAGG